AACGUGCGAACCAUGCAACUGUCUUCGUUUGCACCAGGAGAGCAGACAUCUGCCAACUCCCACGGCAUUUCCCUGCUAGCACUGAACGGGGUGACUUCCUUCCCGGUUGACGUCCUCACAACAUUGCCUCGUCUUUGCGAAGCGGCGGCGACACCUGGACCAUGGACUGCAAAGCUGGCAACCACUGACAAGUAGGCGCAUCGCCAGCGAUCCGUCAAGGACCACUGAAACGGCCAUCGUUGCUGCGAGCUUCGUUAGCGGCACCAACUUGGCAGGUGAACCCAUGACAGCUUACCUUGCAGCUUUGCAUCAUGCGCACGCAAUCGAUGAUCCCACAGGUCCUUCUUGUAUUUCAUCCCGCCCUUGUUCCACUGAAGAUAACGUCCCCUGUAAGUGUUCCUCA